AUGUAGGGCAGUCUGCCUUCAGGGAUAAAUUACUAUAAGAGAAAUGGAUCCUAGAUAGUUUUCCCUUCAAGUCAAGCUUCUUGU
rnacentral:pre_miRNA from 1 species